rnacentral:snRNA from 1 species
ACUAUGCCUGAGCGGGGUAAAGCCAGAGGA